AGAAAGAACCCCCUGCAAUUUUGAAAUAUGAUCAUUUGACGAAGAUGUGUGCUUUUCUGUCGGAAGGCCACAAAGGGGCAACAUCCAUGCAGAGUUGGGGCUCCAGUUCAACAACGUGGCGUCACCCGAUCAAAUCCCACAGGCUGAUGCUGUUGCAGACACCUUAAUAAGUGCUCUAAAUAACCCCAACAACACCUUCGGCCUCGCUGUUGAUCCCACCUCCAUCCAAGUGAUUCGCUCAACAACUGGCGGGUCAACAACAACCACCGGGCCGACGACAAGUGGAGGCACCGCAGCUCCCUCACCGGUUGUGGUUCUCGCAGCCACCUUGGAAGAAGCAUUUGUAGAAGAACUCAACAAUCGCAGCAGCGUACAAUACAGAGCUCUCGAAACACGAGUUGAAACAGCGUUCGACUCCAUCUUCAG